UCACCAGAACCAGCAAUAAAAUACUCAACACUGAGUAUGCCAAAGUUACCGCAAAGAAGUCUGUUGCAGAACAUGUGGACAUUGACGUCACAGAAGAACGACUGUCAAGUGAACUAAUGAACUUAAAGGUUGAUGCCUUGAGAAAACUUGUUAAAGAAUGUGGUGUGGAUUCAAAGGGCUCAAAAAUGGAUCUUCUCCUCCAUUUGAGGGAGGAGAUGAAAACAAGGAGCACUUAUAACAAAGUGUUUCAAAAAGUUUGGGGAGCAUCUGGUGGCUGGGCAGUUAUCAUGUGUCCUUGUGGCAUUGUGAACUCAGUCAAAUUCAACAUAAGAGCUGAAAGCCCACGUGAUUAUGCAGAUAUGUUGCUGUCAUUCCAACAUUUCCCAAACAUUGUCAUCUAUGAUUUUGCUCGAGGAUUAGUGACUCAUACCAACCUAAGGGAACC